UGGGGAAUAUUGGACAAUGGGGGCAACCCUGAUCCAGCGAUGCCGCGUGAGUGAAGAAGGCCUUCGGGUUGUAAAGCUCUUUAGGUUGGGAAGAAGCAGUUUAGGUUAAUACCCUGGAUUGUUGACGGUACCGACAGAAUAAGCACCGGCAAACUCUGUGCCAGCAGCCGCGGUAAUACAGAGGGUGCGAGCGUUAAUCGGAAUUACUGGGCGUAAAGGGCGCGUAGGCGGUUAGAUGAGUGUGAUGUGAAAGCCCUGGGCUUAACCUAGGAAGUGCAUCGCAAACGAUCUAACUGGAGUAUAUGAGAGGGUGGCGGAAUUUCCGGUGUAGCGGUGAAAUGCGUAGAGAUCGGAAGGAACGUCAAUGGCGAAGGCAGCCACCUGGCAUAAUACUGACGCU
rnacentral:rRNA from 1 species